AAGAGAACAUACAGUCAAACCCAGUAGCCUCGCUGCGAAUAACCAAUGACACCACAGGUCAUAGGACCACUCAUACCACUGUAGUAUCGAGAAGAUCACUAAUGAGUGAAUAGACAUCCAUGUGGUUCUCGUGUUGGUCAUGCUCAGUGCAAGUUAUUCUCUAACAACCAUCUGCACCCUCACCCCAGUAUCCCUACACCACUGACCCA
rnacentral:lncRNA from 1 species